CAGCUCUGCUCUUUGGUUUGCUCUGAUUAAUUUAGCAAAUGAAACUCCUGUAAACUCACAUAACUUUUUUGCUUAUACAAAACUACUGUUGCUAUAUAGUUUUAAGUAAGCCCUGAGUAAACUAUCCUGUAGAUAACUAACUCAGUAUAACAAAAGCCUUUAAAAAGCUUUUUGUUGAAAAGUGGUUUUCUGUAAAGUAACAUUUUGUGCUGGGGCAUAGAGAUUGUAUGAAAUGAAACGGCUCUUUUCAGUAAGCUGCCUUUAUUUUAGCGUAUGAGAAAAACAACUGCUACUGUUUACACUCCUUAAUCAAGCCAAGCAUUUGCACCUGCCUAUGCUUGUGUGUGGAGGAGGUGGAGAGAGGUCUGAGAGAUGCUACUCUUGCGGAUGAAGAGAGAAGAAGGAUGGUCUCAGCCAGGAUUGGUUCCUGCUUCUUUCCCUGCGGAUACACAGAGAAGCCAGAAUGGAGGUGAGGAAACAAUCCCAGCCAUGUUUCCUUUGUGCUGGUUUUCUGAACUUCCCUGGGAGGGAUCGUGUGCUGGUUCCCAUUACCUGGAAUGUCGGUUUUGCCACUUUGCCACCGGUCUGUUGGAUGUGGGAUCCCAUUUCUGGCUGGGAUCAAUGUCUGUGCUCUGGGCAACAGUGAAAAUCUCCCAGAUCUCACAAAGCUUCACAAAGAGGAGUAAACGUUGUCAUCUGCAUUUUACAGGUACAUAAACUGAGGCAAACAGCAGAAAGUUACAUCUGAUAGACCUGGACAAAGACAGAUCUGAAAUGGAGUCAUAGAGGUUUGAAGUGUUUAAUAGUUUUGAGGAUAUCAUGCCCCAUUUUUCCUUAAAUUAUUAUAUGAAAGGGUGAUAUAACUGAACUACAAAGGUUAUCAUGAUUUUCCUUUCUCCUGCAUGUCCUUCAGUUUUGUGGAUUUUGUCUUAAAUCUAUGCAGGUGAUAAUUUAAAGUAAAUGUUCUCCUGCUGUGAACCUGAACGCUUCUGUCUUCAGUUUAACUCUAUUAAUGCUUCACUUCCGUGCCUCCAAAGCUAUUGCUUCCUUCUUUCCAUGAAAACACAUUGGUGCAGAACACAUUUAAGUGUAUUGGGAGCAAAAUAUUAGCUUGAGGUACCAGAUGUCGGGGUAUGAAAUGCCCUGAAGCAGUCACUGGAAGAAGCGACACAAGAUGCCCUUGAGAAUUUCAAGGAAGCGAAGUCUGUCUUCGUGCCAGCAGUCCUGGCUGAAAAAUGACUCUGGACUUAAUCACUGCAAAGACACAAAAUUGUACAUGAUAUUUUCAUUCUUGGUCCUACUCCUCACCCCCCAAAUUUCUGCUGCUGUAUAUUAAGCAUCCCCCUUGUGAAGUUAAAGCAGCUCAUAAAAGCGUUAAGUAAAAAGUCAAAACUUACAUGGGAACUGUUACAUUUUCUCUGUGUGGCCAUAAUGAGGUUAUUUAUGGUACAUGUAGGAAAGAUUAAAGGUUUUCAUAAUAAAGGAAAGCAAGAGCUCAAGAAUUGGGUGCCUCCUAACAGCACUGACUCUCAAGAUGGGAUAAAUCACCCAAGCAACCAUUAAAACUUCAAGAAGAUUGCUUGUAAACCUCCGAGCAAUGCCAAUAAAGCAUAUUCCUUGCCAUAUAGCAGUCCAUAUGGUGGAGCUCAGCAGUUUUUCAAAACCAAGGGCUACUCACAAUUUAACCCUACUGUCUUUUUCCUUAGAGGGCAGAGCGCCAAUGCACCACUAUCAAAUCAAUGCAAUCUUUAGAUGUGGGAGGGCAGGGAACAUGGAGAGCAGACUCAGGAGAAGUUAACUUGCCAGACAGCGAGGUUCUCAAGAGCACAGAGAUGGGCUGGAUUCCUGCACCAUUUUUCAUUACGCUGCUUCUUGGGGGUCUCCCGUCAUAACACAAUGUUAAAGACACAUUUUUAUGGGCUCUCAGGAAGUUAGGAAAAUAUUCCAAGGCCCCUCAAGGUUCUGGUUCAUUUGCAUUUUAAAAAGUCAAGUCUUCCACUCUAAAAGGCCAACGUAGUGAAAACUGCAAUAAAUCACAAUGUAAGCUUGCGUGUGGCAUAACAUCAGCAACUGCACGGGACAAAGCCAGAAAUCCCACCUUGAGUUUUACACCAGAGAAAAGCCCCAAAUCAAUGAAAUUGUUUCUUUGUUUGUUUGUUUGGGGGUUUUGUGUGUGUUUCUUUGUUUGGGGUGGCGUGGGUUGGUUCGUUCGUUCUUGGUUUGACGGGUUUUUUACCUCCCAGUUGUUUUUCAGGGAAAUCAAACCUAGACAUAGAGAUGUGACCCUCCUGGCUCAGGUAAGCACUGAGGAAAGGGAUGUGGGAGUAAACAUGGUCCAGUGCUGGCCCAAGAGUAAUUCGCAGAGAUGGGUCCUCUGUGGGCCAAGUUCUGCAGCCUUACCCAGUAGAUUUCUCUUUUGUUUCAUUUAUUUUUCAAGCCUUAUGCAAGAUAAGUCACCAACUCUGUUCUUCAUGUUAAUUCUUAAGAUUGAUUUAAGGGAGUCAAACAAAUUCAUGAAGAGUCCUAAUUCUGCAGAUUGCGGGCUCCCCAUGGCAGCCCGCAGUGAGCUGCUGGGGAACUCUGGUAAUGGAAUCAUUUCCCACAAUGACAGCCUGAGUCUCACUGGGGGAUUUCUAGUGUUAUUACAUAAUAAAUAACAGUGAUUAUCAUAAAGAUGAGGAAAACCUACCAGUAUUCAAAUAAUUCAGAUUUAACCAAAUGUUCGCUUUUCAGAAAACAUUUUUUUUCCAACCAAUACGAAAAGAAAAUAUUUCUGUGAGGGAAAGGAAGUAAAUCUAAAUCUCCUAUAAAUACAUUAACAUUGGUCACUUGUGCAAAUCAAUUGUACUGGCACAUCAACUGAGAUAAAUUGUCAUACUGUUAGUUUUCAUAGAGUUAUUCUAAAGCUGUGCUGGAGUAAAAGUCUUAUUCGGUUGAAAUAAGUGGCCAUCUUUGUCCAAUGACUUCGGUGCAUAUGUGCACUGGGAUUUAACAAUAGAGGUAAAUAGAUCCAAAGUUUCUGUCUGUAUAAACUAAACUAUCACAGUCUUCAAUGCAAUCUUCAGAUAUUUUAGUGAUUGUUACCACAGACUACCUGCAGACCUAUCUUUAAAAAGUGAUGAAUGUUCAGGUCUCCUGGUAAAACCAAGGAAACCUUUAGAUGUUUAACACCUCUGAAAAUUAGGUGAUGGCAUCAUAGGUUGAUCAAGCCGGAAUCCUGCAUCUUCCUGGGGAAGAAAAAAAGAAACACCAGUGCUAAAACUCUUAGCCCUCGGCACGUAUUUCUCUCACAGGUAACCUGGGUAGCAGCACUGACAGGCAGACACGAGUGUUGGGGUGUGUGCAGGCUGGUGGUGCUAAGGACUAUGGCAGGUUACCUGGGAAUAGGCCUCCCACGCAACGGCAGUCAAGCAGGACCACAGAGGUGAUGAGGUGGGAGGGAGCAAAAGCCGUGAAACUCCAGCAAAUGCUCAGACGUGGUGCUCCUGCCAUUGCUCGCACUCACCUAGGAAAUUCUAGUCCAACACUUAGCAUACAAAUGGGGAGAGAGUUUCCUGUCUGGGGACACCAAAUUGUGUUUUAUGCAUAGCCAAAGUGUAUUUUCUUUGUCUGUGGGAAGGUCAAAAGCACUGAAGAGUCAGAUCCAGUCAGACCAAAGCAGGGAAAGUUGAAGUGGGAACUAAUAUUAAAAAUUGUGGCAAAUGUGACACAAGUCCACUAAAAUCUCGUUCCUACUUAUUUCUGCUCCCUUACUCCUCAGAAAUCUGUCUGUUGCCAGCACAGUGUCUAUAUCUGAUUUCUCUUAAGUUUCUUUCAGAACAAACUGUCAUAUUUACAGAGCAGAAUCACUCAGCAAUCCACCCAGAAAUGGCCAUGAGAUUUGAAGUUAGCCUGGAUAUCUUUCAAAGGACACCAAAGAUAACUGCACUGGGUCUUCUAUUGCAUUUCCAUUUUAUGGCAUCUUUUUAUAUUCUGUAGUAAGCUUUUCUGAAUAAAAAUGAGACAGCCUCUUAAGAGGCCUUUUUAUUAUUUGCAUUUGGCAAAAACAGCCUUAAUGAGCUGUUAAGAGUCAUUCCCCAGUCCUAUUGUUGGCGAUGCAUGGGAGCCUGUAAAGUGUUGAAAAGCCAAAAGACAAUUUAUGAUCCCUGAUGCUAUCCCUUCCUGAGACAAUUCUUCCGAAAGGAAGAUAUCUGGGGAGUAGGAAGUCCCAUUAUUUAAAUGCUUGAGUAACUUUUACUGAAGUCAUAACUGUGGAAUUUGCUAUUUUCAUUUCAGAACUGUUUACACUCUCUGUGUUCCCCUUAAAAGCAGCAAUGUCACGUCUGUGCUGCAUGCUUAUUCCCAUCUGCAGCACUAGAGAAUAGGAAGAUGACUCAAGGAAAAUUCCCCAUUCAUUUCCGAGUUUGAACAAAUAGCACCAAAUUCCAAGCAGGCACUAACCAACUUACAAAACUCUUUAUGUUUUUCUUUCCAAGCAGCGCUCAUGCUUAAUAUCUAGGGGCAGUGGUCUCUUUGUCAGCACCAGUCGCAUCAGCCUGGCCCACACUGAUCUGGAAAGUGCAAAGGAACUCGGAUUUACUGACACAGGCAACAAAGAGGGUUAUUCAGCACAGUCGGGAAAAAUGAAACAAAUAGUUUCACAAGUUUCUGCAGCGGAGGGAUGUGUGGUUGGUUCUUGGCAUUGUUUUCCCUUGGAAAAUGGGAGGCAGCCAGUAAAUGUCGGAGGUGUUUGUUAGUGACUGAGGGUGCUGAAGAGACAAUCAAAUAUUUGUGACAAAGGCCAAGAACUUGGAUGUUAUCGUUGACACCCAGACAUCUCGAGAAAAGAGCAAAUAUUGCAUUAAUUGUGUUGUCUCUUACUGUAAACGAUGAAAUGACAUCUUUUACCAAGCUCAUGUGUAUUAAUCAGCUUCAGCCCUUACAAAGUUAAAUACUGUAAAUGGAUGAGGGAUAGCUUUGUCUGUUUGACAGUAAUUAAGUGAUACUCUCAGUCUGAACAAAGGGAUGACCCAAUGAGGCCUCACACUAGUGUGAUUUUUCCUCUUUGGAGAGAGCUAUAGUCACUCCUAUUAAUGAAAACAAGGAAGGCAUUAAAAUAGUGAAAGACUAAAAAUUCUCUUUAAGAAGUCAGGUUUUAUUUGGGAGGUAUUCUCUUUUAAUAAAACCAAACCGUAUUCUUCGUUGUGGUAUUUCCAUUGCAUUACUUGCUGUAUAAUCCCAGCACAAAUCAGGUGUACAAUGAGCAUCCCAUACAGUCACCCAACACCUGGAAUUGAAGUGUGAUAUUGAAGUGGAGGGAAAAUUCAUUUAAAUGGUUAAUUAAAGCACCUGGGGAAGCUUGAUAUAGUGACUGGCCAAAAAAAACCCACAACCCACUACAACUCAAUGAACAAAUGACUCCAAAUGUUGUUGUGCCUCUGAUAAGAAAAUCUCUGCUACAAUCCAUCAUUCCAGGAUACUUGCAUGUCACCCCAAAGAUGCUGAGUGGGCACCAGUUAAAAAGAGAGCAGAAUAAACCCAAAGCUCCGACAAAAGGGGAUUUGUAGCCAACUCCAACCCCCCCCAGUCCGAACAGGCAGUGGGGGACAAAUUCUGAUUUGGGGUACCACCAAAUUAAGGCACAAAUAGACCCGGGCAGUGAGGAUUCAGGCCACGGUUAUAUUUGGCUUUUCAUCUGCUUUCAAAGGGCACAGCAUGGGCUUUAUUUGGAUUUAGAUGGAUAAUUUCAAAGCUAAUUUUUUAAUAAAUAAUCAAACAUGUGAUUUGAUUGCCUUCCUUUUAUUGGUACAUGUAAUAGUCACUUAAGUUCUACUAGAACAGAAUAAAGUGUCCAAAGAUAAAGCAUCUUGCUCUUACUAAAAAUGCCAGUGUGGGUGCUAGUUUUUAGCCCUGUCUCCUAGGAAGCAUCAUAAAGUAUCAGAUCCUGCAGUGAUUUUUUCAGAUCAAAUUCCCAUCGAUUCUAUCCUAUGCCUGAUAUCUUUUUUCAGACACAACCUUAUUUUUCUGUUUGAGUUUGGUUUUUUUUAAAUCCCCUGAAACCUCAGGGUCUGAUUCUGCCCUUGCAUCCUGAAACGAGUAGAGUGACUUUUAAGACUUACUCCGUCUUACAUUACUAGCAGUAUAACUGCUGUAUGAUUGUGUCUUCCGUCGGGGAAAUAUUGCCUUGCUGUUUUGUUCAAGCCUGAGUCCUUUGUCUGAAAUGCAAUCAUCAGCCAUUACCCAUGUGCGCGGAGCAUUUUGUCACAGUUACUUACUGCUCACAAGCCAGCCCUACAUAGUAAACAGUCAGAUGUGGGGCCAACCUCUCGGCUGUGAGGAGUGUGACAAUAAAGCGAUGCAAAUCCACAACAGCUGGAUUCUUGGCUCCUCACUUGGCUUCUGAUUAUUGAAAAAUGUUCUUUCCUUCUGUAAUUUUAUUUGCAUAAAAACAUGACACAAUAAUUUGACGGCUGCUCACCCCCAUGCUGUGCGCAAAGGCAAAACAGCUUAAUAUUGAACUGAGCAAUCUUUAUUUAUGUUCUUCUGAAAUCACUCAUCUUUCACUUUCUAUCCUGCGCUGUGACUUCAAAAGUGACUUACAGUGCAGCUGGGUUAUGCAGUAAAAUGAGUAAUUCGUAGCUGUUAAAAGGAUUAUUCUUCUGUUAACUCAUGGAACAAAGCUUCCCAAUAAAUGUUGUAUUCUGCUAUGCACUGAGUGCUUUUGUCCACUUCAUAGCACAAAUCAUACUGUUCCCGAGUGCUCAUCCACAGCAGUAUUCUUUAAUGCUUAACUCUGUGACCUCACAAAAAUAAUUGGUGUGAAGCAAAUUUACUUAGCCCUCCGCCUUUAUUUGCAGACUGAAUGGCUCAGAGAAUUGUGCAUAUUGUUUAUGGAAAUGAAGAGGGAGAAAAGAAAACAGAACAUUACCCUCCAGAUAAAGAUGGGCCUAUGCACAGGAGAAACAUAGGGGCUUAGCAUGAUGUCCCUGCUUGCAUUAUAGACACCUAAUGAGAGAUGCUGAUCGACUAAUACAACUGCAAAUCAGCUCAGAGACUGUGAAAAUCCAUUCCAGCUGCUGCGAUUUAAAACAGUUAACAUUUUUUACCUUAUUCUUAAGUUAAAAUUUCAGGUUUAGCUGUGAGCUUUACCUAAUAAUUAUCCCACAGAUGCAAAUAGCAAUGAUUUAUGACCAGAUUUCUGUGGAUUUACAAGGGAAAGAAUAAGCCUGAUUCUCAUUUCUCUGCAUAAAUUUGGAUUUUAGAAGUCCUAUUUGAAACUUUGGGGAUUUUCAGCAUAAUCUGGGUUCCAAACCCAGGGCCUGGUUUCCGAGUCUGUCGCUGAACCCCAGCAACCCCAGUUCUGGCAGCUCCUUUCAUACUGGGACGAAGGGGGAUGGGAAGGGCGCUGUGAACAGAUCCAAACACUGCUUAUUUGUCUGCGUAUAUAUUUAUAUGUAUAUGUAUGUAAAUCUACCCUCUACAGAAAAAAAAUCCGCAAUCCAAGUCUCAAACAGGGUGAUAGACAUAACAGAAUAGUUUUGCUUGAUGUGCAUGUGAUAUAACCAUGCCACAAAAGCAGCUUACCAAACAGCUUGCACAGAUUAGCUAACAAGAACUGAGCUAUUCUUUUCAGGAGGUGUUAUUAGCAUAUUUUUCAUCAAUACUAUACUUAACAGCUACUACAUAGCAGGAAGUGGUAUUUAACCUCUUGUUACAAUGUAACAAGAUUACUUUGUAUGGUUAUGUUACAUUCCAUUCAUAAAGGCCCUCCUGUGUCCAGUUAAUUAGAUUCACUGUUUGGCAGCAUUAACGGGAAGAAAAUGCAACAAAAUGCAUUUGGAAUAUUGAAAUGUUAAGCUUGGUUUGGUUUGUCUUUAAGGCCAUAUUGAGAGCUAUAUAAAUCUUGAUGUUGAGAGAUAGAUGGCGUUUAUUAGAAUAUUCUGCCAGGUUCUGAUGGACACAGGGUUUUAACCACUUAAAUCAUCCAAGUUUGAAGGAAGGUUAAUUCUCAAAGUUAUAGUUAUCUAAAAUAUAAUAGAUGAGCAGCACCUGAUUUUCUGAGUCAAAACCAGAUGAAAGUAUUUUUCCUUGAUUUGACUGUAAAACCCUGAGCUACAUGGGACUCUCUUACCCAUAAGACUUUUCAGUGAAUUUGGGCUUGGUUUGGAAAAGGACAGGAGCAAUUUGAAGAAAUUAUACUGAAUUUAGAGUAUGGAAUAAAACUAUACAGCAUCUGAGUCUUGUGCGAUGUUGUAGUUUUGUUUUGAAUGACUUUUGUGGUCUUAAUAAUUUGUUGUUUUGUUUUGUUCUCCCUAAAGAUUUUCUGGGUUGCAAGAUGGGUGCCAGAAGUGCUAUUUAUUAUUUGAAAGAACCAACGCUAAUUAAUGAAACAUAAUAUGAAACAAAAAAUAAGCUCGGAACAGCCGCAUAUAGUUUGGAAGACAAUUACAGCAGAAGAUGCUCUGGGUUUCUACAAAACAUCUUGAAAAACAGUUAAAUGAGCCUGGUUUUACAUCUUCUAUAAGAACAUGGGUUUACCUCUGCGUAAAGAAAAAAAGGAGGGAAAAAAAUAGAGAAAUAAACUAAUGAAAAUCAGUAAUGCAGUUUAGCAAUGCUACUGUUUUGCUGUUGGGCUGUCACGUUACAGGCAGCAGUUUCUGUGCAGCAGCACAAAAGACACAUCAGAAUCAGAUAUUUUUUGCCUUCCACCCACCUUUCUAAGACUCAUCAACACAGCCCUUAUCAUCUGGGGUGGGGGGUUAAGUCAAAGGAAAUAUCUACAAGUGAACAGGGAAAAUGUGUUUUCAUGUGCAAGAUGAACAUUGAAAAAGAAAUUAGGAAAAAUUGGUGCUGGGUUUUUUUUUCCUGCAUGAAAACGUUAAAAAUGGAUCUAAGUUAUAUUGAACUACCAUUUAAAAAUAUGCUGAAAGUGCCGAGGUGCUGUCAUAGAUUUUACAGGGUGCUUGGUUGGUGGAGGAGUUAAAUGGGCUAAAAUCCUGUGGACAGCCAGCGAACAAAGUGUGAUUUACGUUUUAGGAGCAUGUCGGUGUGGAUUAAAUCCACAAGGGCAAUCAUACCCUCAGAAAGGAGGGGGGUGAGCAGUGAUCUGUCUGCGCCUCUGGUCUCCCCUGCCUUGGGCUGGGCUUUGCUGCGAGGGUCCCGGGGGCUUCGCCCGUCUCCUGCCCUCACCUCCUCCUGGACAAGUUCCUUAUCCCCAUGUGUCACAGCAAAGCAGUGACCACGCAGCUCUCCAGCCAGCGAAGCAGGUGGGGACACCUGGGGUGGCCCCUUCCCACCCGCUGGGUACACCGAGCCCUCCAGAUUUCACCCUACAGACCUCGGCCCAGACAAGUGGUGCAGCAGCCCCGGCCUUGCUGCUGCUUCUUGCUCAGAUCAAUUCUUUAAAAUGUUUUGUUUGUGUGUUUUGAGGCUGCAAAGUUAAUUUCAAGGGACACUGUCAAGGUGAGCGAGCUCAGAAUUUGAUUUGACUCACCGUGCAUGUUUCCUAAUAACUGUUUGAAGAGUCUGCAUAGAUCUAUUUUUUUUUUUUCUUUUCUCGAUACAAAUGUAUUUCUCUAGGGAAAAUAUAUCAAAGCUGCACAUUUGACUUCACGGGCAACCUUGCUAAAUGUGCCCAGUGUUUAUACAUAAUAGAGGAGAGGCAAAUUAGAAUGAAAACAAGCUUCCUUUUCAAGCUUUCCAAAGGAAUGAGUUUAUUAAAAAAAAAUAGAACUUGAAGCAAGAGGAGGAUUUUAAAAAUGCUGUACAACUCUUUAAGCAAAAGCCUUUGAAAUUUAAAAACCAAACAAACAGAGUGAGUAUUUGUCAGUGGAUUAUGGGGCACUUAUUGACUCCUGCAGUGGUUCCCACACUUCCCAGGGUCACAUUUAGCUAGUGUCCCCUCACAUCUGCCCUAGCCUCUCCAGAUACAGCUGACAAAUCCCGACAUCCAGACUUGGCUGAAAUUACUGUGUGUUGGACUUAUCAAUUACUCGAUCAAUAACCUCUAAGAUGUGUAUGUAUCCUCCUAUAUUUGCCGAAUCUUCCUUUUUCCCCAGUUACCGAGACUUUGCUCAAUGAAACAGAACCUGGUGAAGCUUCUGGGUUCUUUGCAAUGAGGACGCUUGCCCAUGUUUCAAGGGCAGCUAAGCCUCUUCCUUGCCCACAUUCUUAAGCUGUAGAGAGAAAACGUGUAAAUAUAAUAUGAACCCUGAAACUCACUCCUGAUUUCAAGACUCUGCUUAUUUUUUGCAAAUAUUCCCAGGAAAGCAAAGGAAGCUGAAAUACUAUUUGAAAUCUUUGCAAUGCUAGGGUCACCAUCAACAGAUAACUGAGGCUCUUGGAGUCUUUAGCACAUGAACAUCAAACUUACAGAGUUCUUCUGCAAAACACUGUGAAUGAAAACUGUGAAAUUAAUUGAAAAGCUCCAUUUCAAUUAAUUUGUGUUUUUUCCACUUGUGUGGAUAAGCAAACUAGAUUUGUUGUAGUUUUUCCCUUUCUUUUCUGUCCAUCUUUGGGGUUUGGUUUGGUUUUUGUUGUUGUUGGUUUUAGUUUUGCGUUGUGUUGGGGAUUUUGUGUGUGUUUUGUUUUAUUUUCUCCAUUCCCCCUUCUACUGCCACAACAGGGAAUGAGAGAAAACAUCCUAAAAUAAAUAAUCAAACACACUUUUUCUUUAAAGAACGAUUAUUAUUCAAAUAACUUCUAGCAGUCAGCUUCAAAUCGAAUUUCUUCAUUUUGCUUUCAAGAUAUCACGUAUCCAUUUAUUAACUUAGAAUUACAGCCAAAUCCCAUGGCAUUAUUUCUGCGAAUUAAAGGAAGCGGUGCAUCCUCUCUGAAUUUCCCGCAUGUUUCUUACAGCUGCUGCUGGACCUUUAUCUGGAACUCUGCUGCCUGGAGAUGCGAGCUCACUGCAGCAGAACUUACCACGCUGCUUCUCCUUGUGUACGUGUGCAGGUGAGCUCCGGGAACCGCCCCCCGGUCCCAUCUCGGGUUCCGUCCCAGUCCCGCCCCUGGUCCCAUCCCCGGUCCCGUCCCGGUCCCAUCUCCGGUCCCGUCCCGGUCCCAUCCCGGUCCCAUCUCCAGUCCCGAUCCGGUUCCGUCCCGGUCCCAUCCCAGUCCCGUCCCAUCCCCGGUCCCUGUCCCGGGAGCUGUCCAGCAAGGGCCGAGGCAGCGGCCGCGGGGCUGCGCGGUGCCUCCCGGCACGGAGCGGCUCCUCCAGCAGCAGGGGCAGGACAGCCAGGAGUGCCCUGGAAACCAGCGAAACGCCGCUUGGCUGUUUUACACCAGGUGAAAAUCCCGGGGCUGUUCGUUUGCAUCUCCUGUAGAUUUUAGAGACUUGCGUCAGCCUCCCAAAGCAAGGAGGGAAAUGUUGUGUGAUGAGUCACUCUCUGCUAUAUGAGCAUAAAUACACACACAGACAUGUACAUUUACAGCCCCGGUGUUUGUGCUGAACAAACACCCUGCAGCCCACGACACCCCUGCUUCAGCUGCAGAGUGGGUGCCUCCCGCACCUUAAAUCACUUCCAAAGAGUUCACCUGCACAGGCCACCACAGGAAAUACGUUUCUGUUCACCUUUCUGUAAACCUCCGUGUAACAAUAUUAUAGGUUUUCAAAGGCUUCUUUGUAUCCCACACUUUAAACUACUAUCUGAAGAAACUAUUCCAAUCUCUUUCAGCAGGUUUUUCUCAAGUAUCUUUUUUCCUGCAGAAGCUGCCCCAGGUGUUAGGACCCCUUCUAUCUCACCUCCCGCUGGUAAGCCGCUAAGCUUAAAACCAAAACGUGACACAUCUACGGCUCUUAUUGUGUGAAGAGAUAAGGGAUAACUAUAUAUGAAGGAUCAGUUAUUUGGCUGUAGUUCAGGAAAAUACAGAGUCAGGGACCAAAUUGCAAACGUGUGUGUUCUCCUGGGAUUACUUAUAUGCUUAAAGUUGGGCACAUGCGUAAACAAUUUGUUGAAUCAGGGCCUAAAAUGGCAUGCUAUUGCUCAGUAUAAAUUAUACUUCGAAACUCAUUCUAGAGCACCAUGGUAAAAUAAAUCUUUAUCUUAGCUACUUAGUACUAAUGAAAAACAAUAUUAUCGGUACUUUUCCUAUAGCAAUUCACUUAAAGAGAAAUGUUGUACAAUUACAGAGAAUGGCUAACUAUGCUUCUUGAUCAACCUGAUAAUUAAUAGGAAUAGAGAAAAAGCCCUGUAUUUCUGAGUGCUGAUCAGGCAGCAAAGGCACUCCAAACAUCUAAAGAAAAAACAGUUUGUUAAUUGCUGUCUAGACAGUUUAUUGCUGCAAUAAGAUCAAAACACAGAAUACCGAGGUUUGUGGUAUGAAUCAUGCAGACUAAACAAUUGUUUUAUUGCAUUUACAGAGCACUAGAUUUACAACACAGUCAGCUUGGUAAUAAAAUUCCUCCAUUGUAUAUCUUGAAUAAUUUCACCUCUUUUCACAUCUCUCUGUUUUAAUUCUAUAUCAAGAUGUUUUAAAAAUGUUUGGAUGGAGUGGGGAUUACUGUCAUGUAUAUAUGAAGUUGCUUAUCUUGGGUCUCGGUCAUAUAAUCACUAAGCAUCCAGUGUUCAGCUGAGCCUUGAUCAGCGCAUGGUAUUGUGGAUACACUGAGGAACAGAUUUAUUGGGCCACAGUCAACAGUGAGUGCACCAAAGGAAAAGUAAGACUGUCUCCUUGCGAGAGGUUUCAUCCCACUUCACAUUCAGCCGAAAGGAAUUAAUCGGGCAAGUGACUUUAAAAAAAACCAAACACUUUAUUACUCUACAAAACUUGGGGUUUUUUCAUGAAGAAGAAAGACUCAUCUGUCCAUUUCUGUGGGUAUCUUUGAGGUUUAAGAAGAGCUUUUCUGGGAAGAAAUAGAUUUUGGGGAUGAUGGAAAUUCUGUUGUCUUUACUGAGUGCUGAGCUGGGCUAAGGGAACAGUUGCAUGAAAUCUGAGUCUGCGCAAAGUGCCAGCUUUCCCUGGGAGCAUAAAGCGCUGUUGCCUGUGUCUUUGUAUAAAACAACUUUGUAUAUUUUUUUUCAUUUCCUAAUUUUGACCAUUCGUGAUCACCCCAAUAUCCAUGAAAAGCAAAGAGGUAAUAGAUCAGAUUGUAGUUCUGGAGCAAAAUGAAACCAGAGGUCUAAAGCCUGAGAAUUCUAAUCUUACAGACUGCAAUCCUGGUCCUGUUGAGUACAGUGGAAAUGUUGCCACUGUCUUACUGGGUCACCAUUGAAUCUACAGAUUUAUCGAAUCUGACAGUGCUGAGGUAAAUCAGGGUGAUAUUUCUCACUUUAUAAACACCUGUUUGCUUAAGAUUUUGGAGUAGAAGCUGCUUGGGUAAGUUUAGAUAAGUAUCUUUGGCUCAGUAUUGGGGAAAAAAAAAUCCUUCUCCAGCGUAAUCUGAUUAAAGUGAUCUGUGCUGACUCAUUGUAAUAACAUGAAUACCGUCACUGUAGCCACAUUUCCAGUUAAGCUUUUAAAAAGGGCAGGCCUGCCAGGCCUGCCUCAUAAAAUAUGUCUGAAGUGGAGGUAUCUUUGCAUAUGUCCACACUCAACUUCACCAGUAAAAGUUGGUAUUCCUGAUGGUCACAUGAAAUUAUUUCUAAAACUAGGUCUGUACCAAGGCUGUUCCACAAAGCUGCUGUGUGGACUCUUCAUUAGCUCCUGGUACCAACUGCACUCCAGAGAAAUGACAUCAAAUACCCUGGUACAAAUUUUUACUUCUGCUGCUCAGCUUCAUGGUGUGUGGAAGCUGGUCCUGGCUCUCCAAAAUCUCCCAGUAUUACGUUGCCUGUCUGCCUUGUAAUUCCUUUUGCAGCUUUGCAGGAAGACCAGAGUGGCUCCACUUCAAGCUGCAUCUGGACCUCCAGCACCCACCCAGGGCAGAACCAACUUCCUGAGUGGCCACAGCACAUGAAGAGCCAAAUCUGCAGGGGAGAGAUGGUCCCUGAGAAGUACAGAGACAAGAGUGAGCUGCAGAGGAAAAGCACUGAAGGAAGGAGCCAAUCAUCAAGGGACCCUGGCUCUGAAGCUGAACAAGGAACAUCUCACCUCCAGGCUCCUCACAUCAAGAUGCGCCACUUUCAACCUCGUCCAGGCGAAGAAGACUUAUGGGAACACAACCUCAGACUUCAUCAUCCUCUGGUAUCUCUUCAUAUUUGCGUAAUUUCCAACCCAGCAAGAAGCGAGGGAUCUGCAAUGUCCCUGCAGUGUGCUUUUUCCUUCUCACCCUAUUUUAAAAGGGCCAUACACUGCGAAAAAACAGCCUAAUGUUUGUGAAUUCCAGAGGGAAAACUAUUGGCAAUUUUGUGCCCACCUAAACAGUAAUUAUACAAUUUUGGGGUGUCAAUUUUAGGUCCCAAGUGUGUGUUUCAGGCCCUAUCUGUCCUUCAAAAGAGCCACCAGCUGGGCAGCUCUGCUCUGUGUGAAGUUAGGAAGAGUCCUUGCUGCAUUCCUCACAAUGUUGCUACACACAUUUGUGCAAUAUUUGGCUUAUUUGUGCAACAUAAUUAAUGAAACAUGUCUCAUUGGCACCAGCAUCCCUAGGGACCCUAAAGCAAAUGGGAGCCUUUGUAGCCUUAGAGGGUCUUAAAAGCAGAAAAUAUUUACCACAAGUUUAUUAAACCAAGCUUUACUGGUAAUAAAUUAGCAGCCUGUAGACAUGUCUGUUUCUUGAGGAUCUGACAUUAAUCUUUUAGAAAAAUACAGUAACAAUUUACAAUUUUCAUAGCGCCUUUCAAUCUUUCCAUUCACAAGCUGCUGAUAAACUUUGCUGCCAAAACUUUUAAGUUUGGUAAGGUGUCCAUUCCUAAGGCAGGGACUCCUGUCCAUAUGUAAUUCUCAGGAAGUCCAUCAAAUUCAUCAAGUCUGAUAUAGUGCUUACAGGCACAUGUGAGCAAAACCCCACGAGUAACACCGUCACGUUAUUCCUUUUCCCAUAGCCACUGAUGUGUGACACUGGAAAUAUUUUAAAGACAUUGACUCAGAGUGUCAGUAAUUGUGCUGGGACUGGCUGAUGGGUCCAUUCUGUCCCUACAUCUGCAGUUUAGGUUAUGUGACCUUACCGUGCUGUUUCAAAACCACAAAACACUGCGGCGGGGGGGAUGUGUUUACAGAUUUGCACACCCUUUACACUGCACCAUUGUAUGGUAAAUUAUAUGGGAGCCUCUCCUGAGCUCAUUAACAAAAGCCCAUUGUUUGAGGGUGUUAUAUAUCCCACGUGCUCUGCCUGGGAGUUAUAUUUGUGUCAUGAAAGUGUUGGCGAGUUCACGAGAACUGUUUUCUAGUAUUUCUGUUUGGAUUUUUAAUGACAUUUGUGCAGGUGCACAGCUUAAAAAAAAAAAAAGUGUGGGGGGGCUCUUUCCUCAAUCUACAGAGUUGUUCCAAAAUUCAGCUGUAACAACAGCUAUUCCCAGUGAUAUUUUUUAGCAGUGAUCUCAAAAUUUUGUGUCGUAUUAUCCAGUUUUAUUGAUUAAGGGUGUGUUUGAAUAUCUUUCCAUUAAAUAGCAUAUAUAGGUAGGAGAUAGCUUGUACAGUUCAGUGACAGCUAAAUCAAGUCCAAGGCAAUUAAACUUGAGGAUGUGUUUAGAUAUUAAUAUGUUCAUCUUUUCAGUGUAAAUGUUCUCUUAAUAAAUGAUGAAGUUUUAUUGCAGGAUCAAGCCUUAUGUGCCAGGCAGUAUAUUCCUCCCUUUAUUUGACACAACCUGAUAACUACUCAAAAGGUCUAAAAUCUGUGGACUGAACUGUGGCAUCAGUGACUGUGGCAUCAUGGCAGAAAGGGCUUAGUGUGUUCUUGUCCUGUUACACCUUUCCCAGUUCCUAUCCCAAGCUGGCUCUCCAUCCUUUGGUUUUUGUGUAUGUGUGUUUUAAUGCUGGAUCAAUUCCCUGAACUGGAUGACAGAUGGAUUUCACAACUAGAUGGGCCAGCACAGGAAGGACUGUGGUGCAUGGAACAAGCAAUGUGGAAGGAGUCCUGGAUUGCUGGAAACCACAAUUGCCUCAAAACUCACCCUACCAUGAAUCCACAGAUAAGGUUAGUCAUAGACCAAGACGUGCAGCUGAUGACCAACCCCAUGGGAGAAUCACUUCCCAGCAGCAUUGUGCAAGGGGCUGAUACUCUGUCUUCCUAAAUCCUGCAGGGCUAAAGCUUAUUUGGACAACAAACAAGGCCUGGUUGGAGUUCACCAUGCAGGAUUGUCCCUCUGAUAUAAUUCAGCUAUGUGUGUAUUUCGUUGCAAAGAAAAUAUAUCUAUGACUUCUGUGAGGUUCCUUCAUCAGUGCCCAUUAUACUAGUGCUAAAUGUUUGUUUGACUUAUACGUGUUAAAAGAAGUGCAUUGGACAGGAUUCUGAAUAAAUGCAAAUCAGAGGUGGAUCGUCGAAAAUAUUUGGAGUUAUAGACACAAGCAGGAUCCGAGUCAAGCCACUUGUCCUAGUUUCUGUCACAAACACUAACUCUCUAUAAAUCAUUAAUUUCCCAGACUGUUUAUUAUCCAGGGGAAGUAACAAAACAGUAGUAUCACAUAACACAUCCUAAGAAUGCCUUGUUCAUUUUAAGAGCAAAUAAAACUAAAUAGCACCAAGUUGUUAGUGAUGCAGCCUAUGAGACCAAGUAGUAACACAAAAAGGGGACCUUGGUCAGGCUAAGGCUGCAAAAUAAACAGAGAAAUUGAUUAAACAAACAAUAAAAAAGGUUGGAGAAGAGUGACUUCACAUAGACUAUCUUCACGUAGAUAUUCUUUCAUAGACUAUCUUCAUGUAGAUAUUCUUUGUUCACUAUCACGUGGAAAUGGCCCUUGUGUAUUACAUGGUGGGGCUUUCAUGGGGACGCUACUGCAGUGCUAUUAGAGUGCGAAUGGUUUCCACAGCUGCUCCUUCAGCUGCCUUUCUCACAGGAAUAAUCUAACACCUAUCCUCAGGCAGAGAAUAGAACAGAGCCACCCUUUCAAAAAAUAAUCAUCAAAAUUAAUUACACCACCAAGAAAGCAAACUUUUUGUUGUUUUGUUAGCACAGCCCCUCCUCUAAUGUGUUUGUCAUAUGUCACCCGGGAGCCUCUUGUGAUGAAGUAACAACAUUAAUUCCCAUUCCCAUCUGAAGAUGAGGCAGAGUGAGGGUGAUGUUUCUCUUUGCUGUGACUUCAUGGCAGUUCACCUUCCCACACAGCACCCGCUCCAGAUCCCGCCCUGGGGAGAGGAUGCUACAGCCAAGGCAUGAAAAUUCAAUCAUGCACCUUGCUCCAAAAUAUCAUGGCAGGGUUGCAAGCAGGAAGAUGAGAGUUAGACAAAAUAGGUGGAAAUUCUAAUUUAUUUGGUAAGCUUUCAAUGGAUAGUGCUGACAGCUGAGAAAUGUGCAGUUAUUUAUUCCUUGCAGGUUCGCUAAUGCAACAGUGCCAGAAACCGGGCUGGUUUGGUACUGUUGAACCUCACCAGCACAAAACAUAUUGGCUUUUUGUCAAUUUAGCUUCAAUCAAUUUGCAGUUUUGCUAGUAAAAAGUCCUUUUCUGGCCAGUAUUACUGAGUUUAUAUUGAGCUGGCAUUCCUGCUGGCCUUAUUUGUCAGUAAAGUAUCAUACUUCUAAAAGUGAUGUUAGCAAAACCAUAAUCCAGGCCUCACACGUUAUUUUGGUCCAGAUGUUAUUUAUUUUCAUCUCUUAAGGUUCCAAAAUACCAUAUAUUUACAGUUGCCUUUAAAGUUAUUGUUAGUUACAAAAUAUUAGAAACAUAGUUUCAUCUAUAAAAUGCAUAAUUAAAUUAAUCUUUACCAUACUUACUUUACAUUACACAGGAAACACUUUCAUCUGAUGAAUACCAUGGACACAUAAUUAGUACUUUAUACCAUAAACUAGAUUAUAACUUACACUGUCCACCCUGACUCCAAAAAUCCUUGCAGAUUUUAAUUAAAAUGCUGGGCAUUAUUUGAUGAAAGCAUUUGAAUUCAAUUAUUAUUAUUCAGUACGGAUUUGUGCCUUUAUAUAGGUUAGACGUGGUAGUAGUUUUAAACCCGAAGUUUAGUGGAAGUCUCAAAUUAAGCAUUUGCUUUUAUAUUUAGGCAUCCACCACAUUUAAAAUGCUGAACAUCUGAGUUUUCUAGCUGAGGUUUGCCCAAGGUAGGGUUUAGUGGGAAUCAAGACUGGAAGAUAAAAGUAAAGGGAAACUAAAUCUGAGGUAUUUCUGAAUUUCAAUGGCAACUGGGCAUCUGACCCACUCAGACUCUUCUGAAGGCCUUUUUACGUGCCUAUCUGUACCUUUUGAUACCUAAAUACCUUUCAAAUCUGGCAGGACACUUUGGAUAAAUGUUUAACAGUAAACCAAAUAAAAUCCCGUUGUUCUCUUUGA